rnacentral:tRNA from 1 species
GGUUGUGGCUUAGUGGUAAAGUGCUUGCCUAGCAUGUGUGAGGCAUUGGGUUCAAUUCUCAGCACCA